UACGAAGGGGGCUAGCGUUGUUCGGAUUUACUGGGCGUAAAGCGCACGUAGGCGGAUCGAUCAGUCAGGGGUGAAAUCCCAGGGCUCAACCCUGGAACUGCCUUUGAUACCGUCGAUCUGGAGUAUGGAAGAGGUGAGUGGAAUUCCGAGUGUAGAGGUGAAAUUCGUAGAUAUUCGGAGGAACACCAGUGGCGAAGGCGGCUCACUGGUCCAUUACUGACGCUGAGGUGCGAAAGCGUGGGGAGCAAACAGG
rnacentral:rRNA from 1 species